rnacentral:rRNA from 1 species
AGUGAACGCUGGCGGUAGGCCUAACACAUGCAAGUCGAACGGCAGCACAGUAAGAGCUUGCUCUUACGGGUGGCGAGUGGCGGACGGGUGAGGAAUACAUCGGAAUCUACUUUUUCGUGGGGGAUAACGUAGGGAAACUUACGCUAAUACCGCAUACGACCUACGGGUGAAAGCAGGGGAUCUUCGGACCUUGCGCGAUUGAAUGAGCCGAUGUCGGAUUAGCUAGUUGGCGGGGUAAAGGCCCACCAAGGCGACGAGCCGUAGCUGGUCUGAGAGGAUGAUCGGCCACACUGGAACUGGGACACGGUCCAGACUCCUACGGGAGGCAGCAGUGGGGAAUAUUGGACAAUGGGCGCAAGCCUGAUCCAGCCAUACCGCGUGGGUGAAGAAGGCCUUCGGGUUGUAAAGCCCUUUUGUUAGGAAAGAAAAGCAGCAGGUUAAUACCCCGCUGUUCUGACGGUACCCAAAGAAUAAGCACCGGCUAACUUCGUG